rnacentral:rRNA from 1 species
UACGUAGGGUCCGAGCGUUGUCCGGAAUUACUGGGCGUAAAGAGCUCGUAGGUGGUUUGUCGCGUUGUUCGUGAAAACUCACAGCUCAACUGUGGGCGUGCGGGCGAUACGGGCAGACUAGAGUACUGCAGGGGAGACUGGAAUUCCUGGUGUAGCGGUGGAAUGCGCAGAUAUCAGGAGGAACACCGGUGGCGAAGGCGGGUCUCUGGGGCAGUAACUGACGC